rnacentral:rRNA from 1 species
AGAGUUUGAUCCUGGCUCAGGACGAACGCUGGCGGCGUGCCUAAUACAUGCAAGUCGAGCGGACCUUUCGGGGUCAGCGGCGGACGGGUGAGUAACACGUGGGCAAUCUGCCCGAUACUCUGGGAUAACGCUUGGAAACGAGUGCUAAUACCGGAUGGUCUUCUUGGUCGCAUGGCCGAGAAGGAAAAGACGCGUUCGCGUCGGUGUCGGAUGAGCCCGCGGCGCAUUAGCUAGUUGGUGAGGUAACGGCCCACCAAGGCGACGAUGCGUAGCCGACCUGAGAGGGUGACCGGCCACACUGGGACUGAGACACGGCCCAGACUCCUACGGGAGGCAGCAGUAGGGAAUCUUCCACAAUGGGCGAAAGCCUGAUGGAGCAACGCCGCGUGAGUGAUGAAGGCCUUCGGGUUGUAAAACUCUGUCAUUCGGGACGAACCGGAGUCUGAGGAAAUGCAGACUCUCUGACGGUACCGGAGGAGGAAGCCCCGGCUAACUACGUGCCAGCAGCCGCGGUAAUACGUAGGGGGCAAGCGUUGUCCGGAUUCACUGGGCGUAAAGCGCGCGCAGGCGGUGAUGUAAGUCUGAGGUGAAAACCCGAAGCUCAACUUCGGGACUGCCUUGGAUACUGCGUCACUUGAGGAUAGGAGAGGCAAGGGGAAUUCCACGUGUAGCGGUGAAAUGCGUAGAGAUGUGGAGGAACACCUGUGGCGAAGGCGCCUUGCUGGCCUAUUUCUGACGCUGAGGCGCGAAAGCGUGGGGAGCAAACAGG